AUCCAGCUGACGAGUCCCAAAUAGAACAAGAUGUGUGUCCUGGAU
rfam:Schistosoma rodhaini strain Burundi genome assembly, scaffold: SROB_scaffold0002313